rnacentral:rRNA from 1 species
CAGAGGGGGCAAGCGUUGUUCGGAAUUACUGGGCGUAAAGGGCGCGUAGGUGGCCUGUUAAGUCGAACGUGAAAUCCCUGGGCUCAACCCAGGAACUGCGUCCGAUACUGGCAGGCUUGAAUUCGGGAGAGGGAUGCGGAAUUCCAGGUGUAGCGGUGAAAUGCGUAGAUAUCUGGAGGAACACCGGUGGCGAAGGCGGCAUCCUGGACCGAGAUUGACGCUGAGGCGCGAAAGCCAGGGGAGCAAACGGGAUUAGAUACCCCGGUAGUCCUGGCCCUAAACGAUGAAUGCUUGGUGUGGCGGGUAUCGAUCCCUGCCGUGCCGAAGCUAACGCAUUAAGCAUUCCGCCUGGGGAGUACGGUCGCAAGGCUG